UUGUUCCAAAGCUGAGGAGGUCCUGAUGGAAGAAGCUCUAUCUCCUUUAGUUUCAAGCCUUGAAUUUGGAAUGACCUUAGGUUUUGCACCUGAGCAUCUAAGGCUGCAGGCUGGCUUGUAAGGAGUCAACAUUUCUGGGUCACAUAGACAGCAGGCUAUGCAAGCUGACCAAGACAUCCCUCUCCUCAGCAACCUAUUCCAGCUCAAAGCUUCCAGUGUGACACGCAGUGAGAGAUAUUCAGUAACGACUUCCUUUUUUUCUGCACUUUUAAUCGUUUAUAAAAAAGUCAGUAACACAAGAAUCAAGAGAGACUAUAUCUAGUGCUGAGUGUUAGGUGUCCUUAUAUGCAGGCUUGAGAUAGAAUAAAGCUAUUUUCCUUUAUUGGAAAACCGCCA